CUACUGUUUUCUUUUGCUCUCACUCUGCCGUCGCCGCUCUGACGUAUAUAGAGCCGUAGGCCCUACGUGUCCCUGCGGACCAUCCACCGUUUAUAAGAAUGUUUCAGCUGUUGGCCGCCGCCUUCCUGCUGGCGCUAGCAUCCGCCGCCGAAGGUGACGUCGACACGUCGAUCAACGCGACCCCUGACGGCGUUACCGAAUAUUUUUUCAUUCCAUUUUUACCAAUCCUACGCCCUGGACUAAGGCCUAGACCACCCAGACCUAGACCACCCAAACAUAAUGCAGCCACGGUUAAACCACCCACGUAUGGACCAACGCCAUCUCCAAACGACUACAACCCCUGCACUCCUAACCCGUGCUACAACAACAGAUAUUGCUUCCCGUUCGGUCACAGAUACUACUGAAUCUGUCCCAAACAAUACAAGGGAUGGAAAUGUGACGAACACGAAACGCAGUGCGCCUCGAACCCGUGUUUGAACGGAGGCACCUGUGUGAAGAGUUACUACAGAGAAUACUGCAGCUGGCCCUUACGGAUAUAACCGGCGAAUUCUGUGAGAGUCAGACUUUGCAUGAUCUCUGUCAUCCGUCACCAUGCGACCACGGAGGCACGUGCACGGAGAACGACGCGGACCCACACGUCGAUGAACGCAGACGGCCGCUCUUCAAACCCCGCCCGCACCGCUCUUCAAACCCCGCCCGCGCCGCUCUUCAAACCCCGCCCGCGCCGCAAACGUCUCUAGAAGGGCAAUCACGUGACUUUUAGCUUGCAACCAAUAAUAUUUCAGACCUUGUAUUUCCCUCGUAAUGUAACCGGAAUAAACUUCUACAAUAAUUACUAUAGCAUGACGUACCUAGUAGUAACACGUGUAGUGCAGCACUGUGUAUUGAAGCUUGUUAA